rnacentral:rRNA from 1 species
UACGUAGGGUGCAAGCGUUGUCCGGAAUUAUUGGGCGUAAAGAGCUUGUAGGCGGUUUGUCGCGUCUGCUGUGAAAUUUCGGGGCUCAACCCCGAACUUGCAGUGGGUACGGGGCAGACUAGAGUGUGGUAGGGGGAGACUGGAAUUCCUGGUGUAGCGGUGAAAUGCGCAGAUAUCAGGAGGAACACCGAUGGCGAAGGCAGGUCUCUGGGCCACUACUGACGCUGAGAAGCGAAAGCAUGGGGAGCGAACAGGAUAGAA